UGAUAUGGCUCUGGUGCGGGCUGUUAUUUGAAACGAAUCACCACGCGUGCAGCGGACGGGGAAUGCCGUGAGAACCGGCAGCAGUCGCGCUGCGGUAUCGGGUUACGAGCCCUCAUCGUUGACGCGGUCGCCUCCGGGCGGCCGGCGCUGGCGAACAAAGCACAGCGGCACGACGCAUUCCGUCGCGUUGCCAAGGCGAGGGGCGAGGCUGCGGGGAGGUCGCGCGAAGGCGGCACGCUGCGAAAACCCGGAGUCCGAAUACCCGGCUGCGCGCAGAAAACAAA
rnacentral:ncRNA from 2 species